UUUGACAUCAGUCGCACAAUUUGUGCGUUACGAUUAAACAGUAAAUUAUUUCGAGCACAUUUUUGGAAUCCUCAAAAUUCUCGCUGCAUGGAUCGUCUCCUAACUUUGCUCGUAGGCGGAGUUGUCGGCUAUAUCAUUGGCAAGAAGAUGUAAAGCUGUUUUUCGAGGCAUAACUAUGGAGAGCUCUUGGCUGUUGACCUUCAUCGUUGGCUGCAUUGUCGGCUAUUUGGUUGGCAAGAACUAUUGACAGAAAGUCUCAUUCGUUCUGUUCUCUUUCAUUGAUUUCGACAGACAAAAGUGAAGAAAAUUAACAGAAAUUUUGUUUCAAGAAUGGAAUUGGAUUGGGUGCUUACAUUUGUGAUUAGAUGCUUGGUGGGCUAUCUGAUAGCCAAGAACUUGUAGGUUUUCAAGAAAUUAUCAAAAUUUAAAGUCAAGAACCAAAAAAACAUUCCCCCUGUUUCCCGAUCCUUGAACCAAAAUGACGCACGUGAUCUCCUUCGCCCUGGGCAUAGUUAUUGGCUUGAUGCUGGGCAAGCGAUGUUGACGCAUGGGACACUGCUUCAGCAUCCUAAUGGAGCGACCACUCAUCACGGCCAAGGUUCAUGGUCGUGCUUCUGCCAGCACUCCAUGUCCCCCACAAGCCAAAUGCCCAUCGGCAUUCUGUGUCAGCAGAUGCCCCUCCGACACAUCGAAGCAGAUCUUUCACCCACUCUUGCCGCUAAACUAAAUUUAUUAAGCAGACUGUACAAUUAAAGAAUCUACAAAUAAGAAUGAUAUAGUCAGUCUGGCUGCAGUGAUGAUUUGAUGGCGGGGUUGGGGGAUAUUCGGGAAUACUAGUAUGUAGAAGGGGACGUGGAGACCUUCAUGGAGUUUAUGGGUUCUUUUGAGUAGGCUUUGCAUAAACCAGCAGUCAAGACGUGUACGGCAAACUCAUUCAAAUCAAGUCGUUUACCUCAUACGGAUACAACUUGGGAGUUUUUCGAACAAUUUCUGGUUUCUUUGGCACCUGAUAGGAAAGGCAAGGAAAUGGAGUGGCUUUUGACAUUCAUUGUUGGUUGCAUUGUGGGUUACUUGAUUGCCAAAAACAGAUGCGUAUUGAAUAAUAUAAGCUCUACAAAAAUUCAAAGUAGGCUUUGCUAAAAUUGACUCCCUCAGUCGAUAGAUAGCCGGCCUAGUGGCAGCCCAAAAUUGUAUUUAUACAAAUUUUUAAGUUUUGAAUUGGAUUUGGAAAACGAGGAAAAUGCAGCGUUUUCUGACAUUCAUUGUUGGUGGAAUCGUAGGCUACCUUAUAGCCAAGAAUACUCGCUAAGCAAGAAUGACCCAUCUGAUCUGCUUUGGUCUGGGUGUGUGGGUCGGCAUGCUUAUGUGCCGACGCUGCGGUACCUGAAGAAGAAGUCCUAGAGCCUUGCAGAAUCUAUUCGAAUUGAAUGCCAAGCCAAAUUUAAGUUUUUUUAACGUUAAGUCACACACUAAAUAAAAGAAUUAUGCAGUAUUCAACAUUGCUGUGGAGAUAA